GACGAACGCUGGCGGCGUGCUUAACACAUGCAAGUCGAACGGAAAGGCCCUGCUUUUGUGGGGUUCUCGAGUGGCGAACGGGUGAGUAACACGUGAGUAACCUGCCCUUGACUUUGGGAUAACUUCAGGAAACUGGGGCUAAUACCGGAUAGGAGCUCCUGCUGCAUGGUGGGGGUUGGAAAGUUUCGGCGGUUGGGGAUGGACUCGCGGCUUAUCAGCUUGUUGGUGGGGUAGUGGCUUACCAAGGCUUUGACGGGUAGCCGGCCUGAGAGGGUGACCGGCAACAUUGGGACUGAGAUACGGCCCAGCCUCCUACGGGAGGAAGAAGUGGGGAAUAUUGCAAAAUGGGCGGAAGCCUGAUGCAGCACCGCCGCGUGCGGGAUGACGGCCUUCGGGUUGUAACCCGCUUUCGCCUGUGACGAAGCGUGAGUGACGGUAAUGGGUAAAGAAGCACCGGCUAACUACGUG
rnacentral:rRNA from 1 species